rnacentral:rRNA from 1 species
UAAAGAAUUUCGGUUAUCGAUGGGGAUGCGUUCCAUUAGUUAGUUGGCGGGGUAACGGCCCACCAAGACGACGAUGGAUAGGGGUUCUGAGAGGAAGGUCCCCCACAUUGGAACUGAGACACGGUCCAAACUCCUACGGGAGGCAGCAGUGAGGAAUAUUGGUCAAUGGACGAGAGUCUGAACCAGCCAAGUAGCGUGAAGGAUGACUGCCCUAUGGGUUGUAAACUUCUUUUAUAUGGGAAUAAAACAGGGUAUGCAUACCCUCUUGUAUGUACCAUAUGAAUAAGGAUCGGCUAACUCCGUGCCAGCAGCCGCGGUAAUACGGAGGAUCCGAGCGUUAUCCGGAUUUAUUGGGUUUAAAGGGAGCGUAGGUGGAUUGUUAAGUCAGUUGUGAAAGUUUGCGGCUCAACCGUAAAAUUGCAGUUGAAACUGGCAGUCUUGAGUACAGUAGAGGUGGGCGGAAUUCGUGGUGUAGCGGUGAAAUGCUUAGAUAUCACGAAGAACUCCGAUUGCGAAGGCAGCUCACUGGACUGCAACUGACACUGAGGCUCGAAAGUGUGGGUAUCAAACAGGAUUAGAUACCCUGGUAGUCCACACAGUAAACGAUGAAUACUCGCUGUUUGCGAUAUAC